rnacentral:rRNA from 1 species
UACGUAGGGUGCAAGCGUUAAUCGGAAUUACUGGGCGUAAAGCGUGCGCAGGCGGUUCUAUAAGACAGAUGUGAAAUCCCCGGGCUCAACCUGGGAACUGCAUUUGUGACUGUAGAGCUGGAGUACGGCAGAGGGGGAUGGAAUUCCGCGUGUAGCAGUGAAAUGCGUAGAUAUGCGGAGGAACACCGAUGGCGAAGGCAAUCCCCUGGGCCUGUACUGACGCUCAUGCACGAAAGCGCGGGGAGCGAACAGG